rnacentral:rRNA from 1 species
AGCAUCUCGGACCGCCUGAACUGUCAACUCGGAUGUUUCCCCACGACAUAUUUGGGGAUCCCCAUUAGUGACUCUAGGCUCACGGUGGCCGAGUUGCGCCCCACGGUGAACAAGCUCCAACACUGUAUUGAGCCUUGGCAGGGGAGAUGGCUCUCUAAGGCCACUCGGACGGUGCUCAUUAACUCGUCCUUGUCUAGCAUGCUCCUAUUCAUUAUGAGCUAUUAUAGCCUGCUAGAGACGCAUCAUGAGAUUGCUAGAGUCCAGGGCCGUUUCUUCUGGGCUGGCGAGGGUGAUAAGCAGAAGUACCACAUGGUUCGGUGGACUGAGAUCUGUAAGCCUCGCGACCAGGGUGGCCUCGGGAUCAUGUCCUCCAAACGCAUGAACAUUGCACUACUUAUUAGGUGGCUAUGGCGGAUAGCGAACGGAGAGGGUGGCCUUUGGCUCCGCAUCAUUCAGCAGAAAUACCUCCGCGGACAGCCGCUCGCAUUCUGCCAGCGAUCCGGAGGCUCUCAGUUUUGGCAAUCCAUCAUUCAGCUAUUGCCUGUCCUUCGCCUCGGGACAUCGAUCGUGGUU